GAUCUGCUAUUUAAUCUGCAAUUUCUUUCACCAUUUGAAGCAUUUUAUUGCAUUAGAAGCAAGAGAAAAUAAUUUAGACAGAUAAAGAGCCGUUAGAGGAUUUUUAGAAAGCAUAAAAGGCAAUUAAAACGGGCAAAAAAAUAGCCGUUGCUGACAUUUUCAGUCGCAGGGGUCGACUCAUGAGUCGACUCAUGCUUCAGGGGUCGACUCAUGAGUCGACCUCUAUUGCAAAAACCAGAGAAUGCGUUUCUGGA
rnacentral:lncRNA from 1 species